UAAGCAAACGAAGGAGAGAUUCAGAUUCAUGUCUUUAGGCCUCAUCCCCGUAUGCUUCCUCCUCAUCUUCAAACUCGCCUUCUUCAUCAGCAGUUGCAUCCUGGUAUUGCUGGUACUCUGAGACCAAAUCAUUCAUGUUGCUCUCAGCCUCUGUAAAUUCCAUCUCAUCCAUUCCCUCUCCAGUGUACCAAUGCAAGAAGGCCUUCCUGCGGAACAUGGCAGUGAACUGCUCACUAACUCUUCUGAACAUUUCUUGGAUUGAUGUGGAGUUGCCAAUGAAUGUGGAAGCCAUUGUCA
rnacentral:lncRNA from 1 species